ensembl:rRNA 5S_rRNA 5S ribosomal RNA
AGCUACGGCCACACCGCCUGGUUCACGCCCGAUCUCGUUUGAUCUCGGAAGCUAAGAUAGGGUGGGCCUGGUUAGUACUUGGAUGGGAGACCGCCUGGGAAUACCAGGUGUUGUAAGAU